AUUUUGUUUUGUUGCCUGCUGGUACAGCAAUGCAUUGCUCUCCUCAUUGCUUGAUCUCUGGCCAGUGAUGUCAUGUGCAACCAGUUGUCACGCCUGUUUACUGAGUUCUGUCAUAUUAUGGCUGGUGGUGUCAGGAUGGUCGUGGACAAACUAAGUCUUGUGUCCGGGUUCACAGCAGUGAUAUUAUUGGCUUACAAAGAGCAAGGCAGCAUGGCAAGUGACCUAGUUGCUGUUAGUGGAGCCCUGGCAUCUUUGUGUUCUGAAAUAGUUCAGUGGCCUAUAACUUUUCAUGUUGUCCAAGGAAGAGCUUGUGGUAUUGCUUUGAGCCAGGAAGCAAAUAUGCUCGUGUGUCAACUGGGCUGAGUGCAGGUAUCCAAUGAGGCCCCUUUGUCAUGGGACUUAAAUUGUCAUUUUUCAUCAAUAGGCUUCUUGUCAGAGAAGGGCCUUAUUUUCUUGGAAACCAUCAGAAACUUUUUUCCUUUCCCAUGCUGGCAUGCUCUUUGUGAACAGACUAGGUGCCUAGAGUGGGUGUGUUUCUCUGGAAUAGCAGUGGCUAUUAGACCAAGGGGUCUCUGUUCCCCUGAGGGCAUCUUGGGGAUUCAUGGAGGACAUCCUUAAGCAGUAUUGUUGGGGAUGGCAUGGGGAGAGGAAUUGCAGGGCCCAAGACCAGGGAGUUGGCAGAUUGUUGCUGUUUGUCCUGAUGGCCCCUUGAAUCUGAAGCAAUCCACAUGCCAACGCAUUCAUGUUUGGCUUCUGACAUACCAGAUUGAGGUGCAGCAAUUGAAUGGUAGAUGCAAGUAUGAGGGCAAUGCUCCUGGGGGCCUUGCCUCUUUGCCCCGUAUGCCUGUCUCUCUUCCUCAUGCUUGCAUGUAUUUCCUUGCCUCAAGCCAGAUUGAGUGGCCCAGGAUGGAAGACCAUUGGCAUCGGAGACCCAUCACAUAUUCCAUGACUCCCAGCCUGGAAAGUCGAGGCCUACGAGCCGCCACGGGCCACUGGACACGUGGCCCUUGGUGGUACAGGUGGAACACCAAUGGCUGUGCAUUUGGAGCGAAGGACAACAGUGGCAGAUUUAUGGACCAUCCAACAGUUUUCCUCUCCCAUAAUCAGUUUCCUCUGUGGCGGAAUUCCAGAUCCACAAGUGGUUGGUAUCAUGUCCUGUCUUGUCCUGGUGGCCAAUUAUGAGGCAAAGGGGAUGCAUGAGGCAAACAGAAAACAUCUCUCCAUGUUCUCCCUGUGUGCAUGGCAUAAGGUGUGCCUCAGGAUAUCCACAUGUUAUCUCUAUAUCCAGCCCACCUAUCCUUUCCCAAGUUUAGGAGUUUUUCCUGGAAUUCAGUGGGCUGGACCUGGUGAAAACACAGGAGUCAGUUGCCCACAUAAGCGGGUGCUGUCUUAAGGACAGGAGAGGCUUUCUGUCACAGGGGUCUUUUUGUUUUGUGGCCUGCUGGUGCAGCAACACUGUGGUCUCUUGUGUUCCUAGCCUCAAGCCAGAGACAUCAUCAUGGGUUCANNNNNNNNNNNNNNNNNNNNNNNNNNNNNNNNNNNNNNNNNNNNNNNNNNNNNNNCAUGGCUUGUGCUGUCAAGAUGGUCAUGGAUCACCUGGGUCUUGUGUUGUCUCCGGGGCCACUGUAGUGAUGUUUCACUGCCUUAAAAAGUGCAAUACAUCACAAUGAGUAACUUACAUGCUAUAAAAAGGGUGGAGCACCACAUCUUUGCGUUUCAGAAUAGUUCCAAUGGCCUGUAGCUUUUUGUGUUUUUCAAGCUAAACACUUGUAGCACGGCUGUAGUCUGGGAAACAAGCACACUUGUGUGCUACCUAGAUUGUUCACAGCUGUACUGUGGAGCCCCUUUGUUGCACAGCCCAAGAACUAGUUUCAUGGAUAAUCUCCUUGUCAAAGGAGGGCCUUAUUCUUAUGCAAGCUCUCAGAUACCUUUGUUCCUUCCCCAUGGUGGUGAGACCAUUUUGAGCAGAGUAGGUACCAAGAGUGUGUUUUCCUGGAGGGACAGUGGUAGUUCAGACAAGGUGGCCUCCUUCCCCUGAGGGUGAAUUGGGGUUUCUUAGAGGUUAUCUUUACAUUGGGUGAAAAAGUUGGCUUAAAGCUCAACAUUCAGAAAACGAAGAUCAUGGCAUCUGGUCCCAUCACUUCAUGGGAAAUAGAUGGGGAAA
ensembl:lncRNA